rnacentral:antisense_RNA from 1 species
UGGCGGCAGCGUUCCUCGGUCAGGGUCAGGCAGACCAGGCCGCGGCCGUGCGUGACCAUGAAGUUGAUGGCUUCGGGCGUGACGAAUUCGGCGGCCAUGA